AAAUUUCUUAAAUCAACAAAAAGAAACACCCUUUUCGCUAAAUCUAACAAUUCUUCAAACACAUUUGAAAACUCCAUUGUUCUUGGUCUGUUUCCGAAUUUCAUUUCUUCCCUUUUUAUUCACAAAUUCCGCCAUGAAAAUUUCUUAAAACCCAUUAAAAUAGCCACCCUUUUCCUCCAAAUCUGAGAUUUCUGAACUCACAUUUGAAUAAUUGAAACUCUAUUUGCGAAGUUCCCAAAUAUGGUUUCGCUAGAAAAUUCUCAUUCGCAUGUUUCUUCUACUACCCAUCAUUCCCAAACACGGCCUUAUUACUAUACUCCACCGCCGUCCUCCGCCAAAGUUCACCGACGUUCAAUUGGCCGGUCCAUGCGCACUAUCCGCUCCAAUCUGUUCCAACCCGAAUGUGAAAACUCCGGUCCGGUCUACGAGAACCUUACAGAUUCCGUCGUUGAUUUUCGCCUAACUGAGCUAGCGAAGAAGCCGCCGGUUGAUAAAUCUUCUUUUUCCGAUGCGGAAUUUCUGGAAAUUUCCCAAACUUUCAGUGAUUUCUCGGCGUAUAGCAGUGAUAUUUCCGGCGAGUUGGAACGUUUAGCUUACAUCCCAAAUUCGGAUCCGAAUCAGAGCUCCGUUAGUGAACCGGAACCGGAACCGGAGCCUUGUGUAGGGUUUCUGCAGCGGGAGAUGUUUUCGACGGAGAUAAUCGAAAGCAUUGAACCGGAGGAUCUUCAGCCGACGGUGAAACUCUGCGUCGACAGUUUACAGUCACCGUCGGUGGCCGUGAAAAGAUCGGCGGCGGAGAAAUUGAGGUUUUUAGCUAAAAAUCGAGCUGAUAAUCGUGCUUUAAUCGGAGAGUCAGGUGCUAUUCCGGCAUUGCUACCGCUUCUCCGGUGCUCCGAUCCAUGGACCCAGGAACAUGCUGUAACAGCUCUUCUCAAUCUAUCGCUUCACGAACCGAACAAAACCUUAAUUACAAACUCCGGGGCGAUAAAAUCUUUGAUUUACGUGUUGAAAACGGGCACUGAAACGUCGAAACAGAAUGCAGCUUGUGGGUUGCUAAGCUUAGCUUUGAUAGAUGAGAAUAAGUUAACCAUUGGUGCUUGUGGUGCUAUUGCCCCAUUAGUGGCACUGUUAAUAAACGGGACGAAUCGGGGAAAGAAGGAUGCAUUAACGACGUUGUAUAAGCUAUGCACUGUGAGAUUGAACAAAGAACGGGCUGUGAGUGCUGGUGCUGUGAAACCAUUGGUGGGGUUAGUGUGUGAGGAGGGAACAGGGUUAGCUGAGAAGGCUAUGGUGGUGUUAAGUAGCUUAACGGGGAUCGAGAUGGGGCAAGAAAGUAUAGUUGAGGAAGGUGGAAUUGCUGCACUUGUGGAAGUGAUUGAAGAUGGAUCGGAUAAAGGGAGGGAAUUCGCAGUGAUGACUCUUUUGCAGCUGUGUGUUGAUAGUGUAAGGAAUAGAGGACUUCUUGUUAGGGAAGGAGGAAUCCCUCCUCUUGUCGCAUUGUCGCAGACUGGAACUGCUAAAGCUAAGCACAAGGCAGAAACAUUACUGGCAUACUUGAGGGAACCAAGACAAGAAGCUUCUACUUCAACUCCUUAGUGAGGUAGCUUAGACGGUCUUCUAUAUUUGAGUAUUUUCUGUUUAUAGGAAGUGAUUUGAAAGAGUUUGUACAGAGUGGUUAUAAAUUUAGAAGUUCAUGACAUAUGUCAGGUUAAUCAAGAAAAUAAAUAUCAAGUUAGUUUUAAGGAAACUGACCUAUAUAGAUAAAUUUUUAACUAAGUUUAGUGCUGGCAGGGGUUGUGGGAAGGGUUCUCAUGUCCCUUUUGAAUUAUUAUCUGUGAGGUUGUUUGGUAAGAAUUUGAUAAUGAUCCCUUAAGUUUUGUUUGGGUGGUCCAAAUUCUUCUAAAAGGGUUACUGAUUUUAU
rnacentral:misc_RNA from 1 species